rnacentral:lncRNA from 1 species
UUCUUGACGAACUAACUCAGAGGAAAGGGAAACAGAAAAGCCUGAAUAAAUCCGUUAGCAGCCCUGGAAGCCACUGAGACACUAUACAACGAGUGAAGCACACACUUCUAAAUUUUUCAAGGAGUUAAAAGUAAGAUCCACCUGGACACCUGUGGUGCUCCAGAAACCACUCUUGCCUCAGAAAAACAUCUCUGGCCAUGAACAUGGUGAGUAGCCUGUCCCCAGCCUACAACUUCAAAUGCAAAUU